rnacentral:lncRNA from 1 species
GAAUUGUCAACCAGAUAAUGGCACUACAGCCUGUGUGUUCUUAGUGACUCUGAGGAUAGCACUGUGGUUCUGUGACAGAUAAUGAAGGAUUUGGAAGCAGGAAUGCCCAGGAGCUCCCAGAAGUGGGAAGAGAUGAGAGGAAUGGAAGGAACUUACCUGAAGGUGAAGGCAUCAGGCUAGGGGACCAAGGGAGAAGGUGUCCUGAGAGGACCCUAACAAUUCUCUCUUCCAAAGACAUUCCAAGAAGAUGAGGAAGAAUAUAGAGGAGUGUUUUAGAAUCGUCUGAGUUCCUAGCUUGAAUACCUUAAUAACAGCUUUAAGAAAUGUUUUUCUUCAUAAAAGCCUUGAGUUGAAGAAAAACAUGCGCUGAAAUAAUUUCCUAAGCCCCACCCUGUGCAUGACUGGCGUAAGGAAUCGCUCAUUGUAAAGCUAUUGGUUAUUCUAACUCCUUCCGCAAAUUAAUUUACCUCAGGAAGCCAUGUUCCUCCAUAAAUGGCGGGAAACAAUGGGGUCUUUUAUAUUCCCAGUAGUAUGGUGCUCAUUAGUUAAAUGCUGACUUUGUUGGGCUCUGGAAUAGAACAAAAUAUCCUAAAGCAAGGUCAUGACUGUAGCAACUUGGGAAGAAAGGGGACCAUGACACCUGUGUCUGAGCCCUGGUAGGGAAGGAGCCAGGCUGACUGGUCUAGGGCAGGAGGGAUGCUGCCCAGGUAUUCUCCUCCUCUUCUCUAUGGUGAGGCCCCAAAAAGCCUGGGCCCAGAGGGAGCACUGAUGGAGGGAGGGAGAGUGGCACCUGUACCUCCUGAGCCAGAAGUGCCAGAGGAUCUUCCAGACUGGUGGUCUUCACACUGUUUUUUUUUUCCCCAGGCUGUUUUGAUCACAACUACCUCUAUUGCUAAAAAUGUCUGAGCAUAUACUUCUAAUGUAUAGUGUAAUGAUAUAUUGAAUAUCUUAUAAACCAAAUACUGUCA